rnacentral:rRNA from 1 species
CAGUAGCCGCGGGAAUACGUAGGGUGCGAGCGUUAAUCGGAAUUACUGGGCGUAAAGCGUGCGCAGGCGGUUCGUUAAGACAGAUGUGAAAUCCCCGGGUUUAACCUGGGAACUGCAUUUGUGACUGGCGAGCUAGAGUAUGGCAGAGGGGGGUAGAAUUCCACGUGUAGCAGUGAAAUGCGUAGAGAUGUGGAGGAAUACCGAUGGCGAAGGCAGCCCCCUGGGCCAAUACUGACGCUCAUGCACGAAAGCGUGGGGAGCAAACAGGAUUAGAUACCCCAGUAGUCCCUGUCUCUUAUAC